GACGUAGGGCGCGAGCGUUGUCCGGAUUUAUUGGGCGUAAAGAGCUCGUAGGCGGCUUGUCGCGUCGAAUGUGAAAUCCUGCGGCUCAACUGCAGGCUUGCAUUCGAUACGGGCAGGCUCGAGUUCGGUAGGGGAGACUGGAAUUCCUGGUGUAGCGGUGAAAUGCGCAGAUAUCAGGAGGAACACCGGUGGCGAAGGCGGUUCUCUGGGCAUGUCCUGACGGUGAGGAGCGAAAGUGUGGGGAGCAAACAGG
rnacentral:rRNA from 1 species